GAUUUUAGCUCUUUAAGCCUUCCAAAACGAGAGGAAAGAAAAUCCUAUAUGGGCUCAAGGCCCAGUCAGACUUGGCGUAGCCAUCGGUCGCUCCUUGCGCCGCUGUACGCUGCGCCCAAAUCCUGUUUCUCUCCUGUUACCCCUCACCAAAGCCUUCCUCUGGUCUUCCCAACAGAGGUUGCUGCCGUCGCUGCUGCUGGUGGUGGUUGCCGCCGCCGUGAGCCGCGAGGUUGCUGCUCUCCCCGACGCAUCUCCUCUCCGUGGUCGUUGCCGAGCAGGGGUGGCUGCUGGGCGUCGUGUCGCUAGCAGUGUUGGUACUUCUGGUUCAGGAUCCUUUAACCCACAAGUUGUGCCCC